UGUUAAAAAUUCCACCUACUUCUACUGUUAAAAAUUGGCGUAACUAACAAAAUAAUCAAAUAGUUACACAUGGCACACUAUGCGUUCCUUAUUUUAAUGUAUAGGGACUAAUUUUUAAUAGUAGAAAUGGAUGAAUUUUUUAACA
rfam:Gossypium hirsutum cultivar TM-1 chromosome 16, whole genome shotgun sequence